AAUGCUGUGGGCCUCUGGGAGAAAUGUGAGCCUUGGCUGUGCUGUGACUGCAUAAACAGUGGUUAUGACCAUGACUAAUCCAAACCCCACUCUGGGAUCUGCAGAGCGUGUCAGCUCUCCCUGUGGCUCGUGAAGUCCCUGCUCAAAAUGGAACCCUUUUAGAAAGGAGGAAGCUGACGCUUGCAGCAGGGGCAGAAAGCCACUGUGGGUCACAUCACACUGCUGCUCGGAGACGCCCUGUGUCACAAAAGGUCACAUUUCUAAAUGACUAAUGUUAGCACCAGAUGCCAAAGCCGGGCAGAAUCAGCUUGAUUCUGAUGGAGUUAAGUGGGACCCUUCCCCAUCCCCAUCCUCCUUUUUUGAAACACCAACAGGGAAGUGGAAAGGAUUAAGCUGCUCUGGAUCUCACUGGAAGGGGCCCUACUGAGAGACGAUGACCCAUUGCCUCCAAAAGAGAG